rnacentral:rRNA from 1 species
GACGAACGCUGGCGGCGUGCCUAAUACAUGCAAGUAGAACGCUGAAGGAGGAGCUUGCUUCUCUGGAUGAGUUGCGCACGGGUGAGUAACGCGUAGGUAACCUGCCUGGUAGCGGGGGAUAACUAUUGGAAACGAUAGCUAAUACCGCAUAAGAGUAGAUGUCGCAUGACAUUUGCUUAAAAGGUGCAAUUGCAUCGCUACCAGAUGGACCUGCGUUGUAUUAGCUUGUUGGUGAGGUAACGGCUCACCAAGGGAACGAUACAUCGACGGCCGGGGAGGGGGAUCGGCCAAACUGGGACGUGAACAGCGCCCAGAACCCUUCGGGGGGCACCAGUAGGGAAACCUGGGCAAUGGGCGGAAAUCCGAACGAACAAAGCCGCGUGAGGUGAGGAGGGUUUCGGAUCGGUAAGCUCGGUUGAAAGAGAAGAACGAGGUUGAGAAUGGAAAGUUCACACUGUGACGGUAUCUAACCAGAAAGCGACGGCUAACUACGUG